rnacentral:rRNA from 1 species
AUUGAACGCUGGCGGCAUGCUUUACACAUGCAAGUCGAACGGUAACAGCACUUCGGUGGCUGACGAGUGGCGAACGGGUGAGUAAUACAUCGGAACGUGCCUAGUAGUGGGGGAUAACUACUCGAAAGAGUAGCUAAUACCGCAUGAGAUCUAAGGAUGAAAGCAGGGGACCUUCGGGCCUUGCGCUACUAGAGCGGCUGAUGGCAGAUUAGGUAGUUGGUGGGAUAAAAGCUUACCAAGCCGACGAUCUGUAGCUGGUCUGAGAGGACGACCAGCCACACUGGGAGUGAGACACGGCCCAGACUCCUACGGGAGGCAGCAGUGGGGAAUUUUGGACAAUGGGCGCAAGCCUGAUCCAGCAAUGCCGCGUGCAGGAUGAAGGCCUUCGGGUUGUAAACUGCUUUUGUACGGAACGAAAAGCCCUCUUCUAAUACAGGAGGGUCAUGACGGUACCGGAAGAAUAAGCACCGGCUAACUACGUG